rnacentral:rRNA from 1 species
CGGAGAGGGAGCCUGAAAAACGGCUACCACAUCCAAGGAAGGCAGCAGGCGCGUAAAUUACCCAAUCUAGAAACUAGGAGGUAGUGACAAUAAAUAACGAUGCCGGGCCUUUAUAGGUCUGGCAAUUGGAAUGAGAACAAUUUAAACCCCUUAUUGAGGAUCAAUUGGAGGGCAAGUCUGGUGCCAGCAGCCGCGGUAAUUCCAGCUCCAAUAGCGUAUAUUAAAGUUGUUGCAGUUAAAAAGCUCGUAGUCGGAUUUCGGGCUGAUCGUGCCGGUCUGCCGUUGGGUAUGCACUGGUUUCGGUCGGUCUUUUUGCGUGAGGCCUUAUGCGUCGUUCAUUCGUCGUGUUUGGUGCUCUGCACGUUUACUUUGAGAAAAUCAGAGUGUUCAAAGCAGGCCUUUGCCAUUGUAUGUGUUAGCAUGGGAUAAUGGAAUAGGACCUUGGUGCUAUUUUUGUUGG